rnacentral:rRNA from 1 species
CCUACGGGUGACAGCAGUGGGGAAUAUUGCACAAUGGGGGAAACCCUGAUGCAGCGACGCCGCGUGAGCGAUGAAGGAUUUCGGUAUGUAAAGCUCUAUCAGCAGGGGAGAAGAUGACGGUACCUGACUAAGAAGCCCCGGCUAACUACGUGCCAGCAGCCGCGGGCAUACGGAGGGGGCAAGCGGUAUCCGGAUUUACUGGGUGUAAAGGGAGCGUAGACGGCGAUGCAAGCCAGAUGUGAAAGCCCGGGGCUCAACCCCGGGACUGCAUUUGGAACUGUGGUGCUGGAGUGUCGGAGAGGCAGGCGGAAUGCCUAGUGUAGCGGUGAAAUGCGUAGAUAUUAGGAGGAACACCAGUGGCGAAGGCGGCAUGCUGGACGAUGACUGACGUUGAGGCUCGAAAGCGUGGGGAGCAAACAGGAUUAGAUACCCGAGUAGUC